rnacentral:lncRNA from 1 species
UCUGGUUCAACUGAUCCACGAUCUUGUAAUCACUCUUUUUGAUAAUUCUCAUAAAUUCCUCCACGUCAUUCUCAAAAGAAUUCUCGGGCACUUCCUUUCGUACUGGUUCUUCUUCAGCUACAACUUGUUUUCCUUUCGUUCUAGCAAGAGCCUCCGCAUUGUUAUCCUUCGGAACCUGUGGUGCAAACAAUCGACCACUUCUCGUAAAUCCUCUGGGU